UACGUAGGGUGCGAGCGUUGUCCGGAAUUAUUGGGCGUAAAGAGCUCGUAGGCGGCUUGUCGCGUCGACCGUGAAAACUUGGGGCUCAACCCCAAGGCCUGCGGCUCGAUACGGGCAGGCGUCGAUUCGGUAGGGGAGGACUGGAAUUCCUGGUGUAGCGGUGAAAUGCGCAGAUAUCAGGAGGAACACCGAUGGCGAAGGCAGGUCUCUGGGCCGAUACUGACGCUGAGGAGCGAAAGCGUGGGGAGCGAACAGG
rnacentral:rRNA from 1 species